UACGAAGGGGGCUAGCGUUGCUCGGAAUGACUGGGCGUAAAGGGUGCGUUGGCGGCGCGGUAAGUCGGGUGUGAAAUCUCGGAGCUUAACUCCGAAACUGCAUUCGAUACUGCCGUGCUUGAGGACUGGAGAGGAGACUGGAAUUUACGGUGUAGCGGUGAAAUGCGUAGAUAUCGUAAGGAAGACCAGUGGCGAAGGCGGGUCUCUGGACAGUUCCUGACGCUGAGGCACGAAGGUCAGGGGAGCAAACGGG
rnacentral:rRNA from 1 species